rnacentral:rRNA from 1 species
AUUUAUAUAAAAUAUUUUGAUGAAUAUUUAUAUAAUAUUAACAUAAUUCAUAUUACUAUAUAUUCUUAGUAUAUGAAAUUUUACUUUGAGAAAAUUAGAGUGCUUAAAGCAGGCAUAUGCCUUGAAUACUCCAGCAUGGAAUAAUAUUAAAGAUUUUNAUCUUUCUUAUUGGUUCUAAGAUAAGAAUAAUGAUUAAUAGGGACAGUUGGGGGCAUUUGUAUUUAACAGUCAGAGGUGAAAUUCUUAGAUUUGUUAAAGACAAACUNAUGCGAAAGCAUUUGCCAAGGAUGUUUUCAUUAAUCAAGAACGAAAGUUAGGGGAUCGAAGACGAUCAGAUACCGUCGUAGUCUUAACCAUAAACUAUGCCAACUAGAGAUUGGAGGUUGUUCCUUACUCCUUCAGCACCUUA